rnacentral:rRNA from 1 species
UACGAAGGGGGCUAGCGUUGUUCGAAUUUACUGGGCGUAAAGCGCACGUAGGCGGACUAUUAAGUCAGGGGUGAAAGCCCGGGGCUUACCCCCGGAAGUGCACUGGAAACUGGGAGACUAGAGUACCGGAGAGGAGGGUGGAAUUCCUGGUGUAGCGGUGAAAUGCGUAGAUAUCAGGAGGAACACCGAUGGCGAAGGCAGAUCUCUGGGCCGUAACUGACGCUGAGGAGCGAAAGCAUGGGGAGCGAACAGG